UGGGGAAUAUUGCACAAUGGGCGCAAGCCUGAUGCAGCCAUGCCGCGUGUGUGAAGAAGGCCUUCGGGUUGUAAAGCACUUUCAGCGAGGAGGAAGGUGGUGAGCUUAAUACGCUCAUCAAUUGACGUUACUCGCAGAAGAAGCACCGGCUAACUCCGUGCCAGCAGCCGCGGUAAUACGGAGGGUGCAAGCGUUAAUCGGAAUUACUGGGCGUAAAGCGCACGCAGGCGGUUUGUUAAGUCAGAUGUGAAAUCCCCGGGCUCAACCUGGGAACUGCAUUUGAAACUGGCAAGCUAGAGUCUCGUAGAGGGGGGUAGAAUUCCAGGUGUAGCGGUGAAAUGCGUAGAGAUCUGGAGGAAUACCGGUGGCGAAGGCGGCCCCCUGGACGAAGACUGACGCUCAGGUGCGAAAAGCGUGGGGAGCAAAACAGGAUUAGAUACCCUGGUAGUCCACGCUGUAAAACGAUGUCGAUUUUGGAGGUUGUGCCCUUGAGGCGUGGCUUCCGGAGCUAACGCGUUAAAAUCGACCGCCUGGGGAGUACGG
rnacentral:rRNA from 1 species